CAAAAACCUGUGCCCAGCCAAAGAGUGCGGAAGGAUGAAAGAUAUGGUUUGAAAAUGCCACGUCACUACCGUCCUCCUCCCUAGCACGGAUCAGUCCGCAUUUGUUAUGGAAUAUGUUGAGCAAACCUGGAGAAGCGUCAGCUCAAGAUAUUAUUGUUGUCAUUGCUGUGGAUCUUUACCUGAUACACUGACUUGGCCGAUCGGGACCAGCACUCCUGCUGUUGGACAGAAAGACAUCAACUUGAGAUAUGACUGCACUGUGCUGUUGCUGGUGACCACAGUUAAUUCUACAAGACAUGCUGUGACAACAGGAGAGAUGAGUCCUCCGUCACAGAUGGUGUGGUCAGUGAAGAUGGUCAUCUGCAGGUUCAAGCUCAUUGCAUCUCCAACCCACAUCCACUGCCACUGUACUUAAGGGAAGUUAAAGACUUUCUUCUGCACCUACAUUUGGAUCACCUCGAUCCAUGACAGUCAUUCAGGCAGUGAUGCCUGGACUGGAAACAAGCAUCCUUAAAAUAAUACAACAUUCCAGCUCAUGUGUUGGAAUGGAAAACAAAUGUGUUGUUUAAAUUAGAGACUGCACUUGUGACAGAACAAUAAAUAUUUUAUUUUGAUUAUAUAAGUAAUGUAAGUACAAAACAAACUUGUUGUAGGCCUAAACUUAUUUUCAGAAUAAUUAAAUCUGAGACUUUGUUUCAUUGUAAGAUUAUAAUUGUUUGUUGUUCAGCAGAACAGUGUCCAGUAUGUUGGCUGUUAUACUUUGUUGUGUUUGAAAAUAAAAGUUGGGCUGAUUUUAACAUCAUU
ensembl:lncRNA